rnacentral:misc_RNA from 1 species
UCCGAUUUGACAUCGGCGGUCUCGCUAGAGUCCCCGGCAUUACCCGUUGGCAACUAACGAUAGGGGUUUCGCUCGUUGAGGGACUUAACCCGACACUUCACAGCACGAGCUGACGACAGCCAUGCAGCACCUGUGCUGGUUUCACCCGAAGGCAGCCUACUCCUGUUUCCAAGAGAGCAUCCCAGCAUGUCAAACCCAGGUAAGGUUCUUCGCGUUGCUUCGAAUUAAUCCACAUGCUCCACCGCUUGUGUGAGCCCCCGUCAAUUCCUUUGAGUUUUAGCCUUGCGGCCGUACUCCCCAGGCGGCGCACUUAUCGGUUUUCUUCCGGCACGAUCGGCGUCAGAGCCUCUCAUACCUAGUGCGCAUCGUUUACGGCGUGGACUAC